UCCUUAGUAGCUCAAUGGUGGAGCAAUCGGCUGUUAACUGAUUGGAUGUAGGUUCGAAUCCUACCUAAGGAG
rnacentral:tRNA from 1 species